GACAGAGGCCCCAAGCGUUAGGCGGAAUCACUGGGCUUAAAGCGUGUGUAGGCGGAUCGUUAAGUGUCUUGUGAAAUCCCACGGCUCACCCGUGGAACUGCUGGGCAUACUGGCGAUCUUGGGCCAACUAGGGGCAGCCGGAACAAGCGGUGGAGCGGUGAAAUGCGUAGAUAUCAUUUGGAACGCCAAUGGUGAAAACAGGUUGCUGGGGCUGUGCUGACGCUGAGACACGAAAGCUAGGGGAGCAAACGGG
rnacentral:rRNA from 1 species